rnacentral:rRNA from 1 species
CCUACGGGAGGCUGCAGUGGGGAAUAUUGCACAAUGGGCGCAAGCCUGAUGCAGCCAUGCCGCGUGUGUGAAGAAGGCCUUCGGGUUGUAAAGCACUUUCAGCGGGGAGGAAGGCGGUGAGGUUAAUAACCUCAUCGAUUGACGUUACCCGCAGAAGAAGCACCGGCUAACUCCGUGCCAGCAGCCGCGGUAAUACGGAGGGUGCAAGCGUUAAUCGGAAUUACUGGGCGUAAAGCGCACGCAGGCGGUCUGUCAAGUCGGAUGUGAAAUCCCCGGGCUCAACCUGGGAACUGCAUUCGAAACUGGCAGGCUAGAGUCGUGUAGAGGGGGGUAGAAUUCCAGGUGUAGCGGUGAAAUGCGUAGAGAUCUGGAGGAAUACCGGUGGCGAAGGCGGCCCCCUGGACAGAGACUGACGCUCAGGUGCGAAAGCGUGGGGAGCAAACAGGAUUAGAUACCCGAGUAGUC